rnacentral:misc_RNA from 1 species
CGAGGAGGAGGAGGGGGUGGCCGAGGCUUCGGGAACGGGCCAAACAAGCGACCCCGCUACGACGACCAUGGCGACUCUCCCUCCUCGCAACCUGUCGCCUAUUAC